rnacentral:tRNA from 2 species
ACGCUGUUAGUUCUGUUCGGUAGAACGUGGGUCUCCAAAACCUGAUAAUGUAGGUUCAAAUCCUACAGAGCGUG